rnacentral:rRNA from 1 species
UACGUAGGGGGCAAGCGUUGUCCGGAAUCAUUGGGCGUAAAGCGCGCGUAGGCGGCCCGGUAAGUCCGCUCUGAAAGUCCAGGGCUCAACCCUGGAAAGCGGGUGGAUACUGCCGGGCUAGAAUCCGGAAGAGGCGAGUGGAAUUCCUGGUGUAGCGGUGGAAUGCGCAGAUAUCAGGAGGAACACCAAUAGCGAAGGCAGCUCGCUGGGACGGUAUUGACGCUAAGGAGCGAAAGCGUGGGGAGCGAACAGG